GCUUUCUGUAACUGUGUUGGUGAUUCCCAUUACCUUUGACCAUGUAAACACCUUUCCCUCUUAAUUGACUUGGAAGUUUACUAAUGACUUUUUCAAAAACUUUCUUGAACCCAUGGGCCAUCAGAUAUUUUCAGCUGAGUUGUUUAUUUUGGCACUUGCAUUACUGGGAGUUUUACGAACAGAGUCUAUAAAAGCAGUUUAUUUCCUUUGAUACAUUAGAUGGUUUUUAUCUGAGGUUUAUAUAGUAUAAUUACAUUUGCACUGAAUCUACCGCAAUAUCAUUUAAAGAACCAGAACCGGAGAAGAAGAUACCUGAAAAACCCAAACCCCGUGUACCUUUCCCACCAAAAGAGGAGGUUAAGGAGGAAAAGGUUCAGCUUAAAGCACCUGGACUGAAGCCACGGAGACCCACACCUGAGCCUCCCGCUCCACCACCUAAAGAAGAAGUUGUUUUGAAAAAAGUCACAAGAGCAGUUAAGAAACCAGAGGAAGAACCUAAGCCAGAGAAGGAACCAAAAGCUCCACCCAAGCCUCUUGAAAAGAUUAAGAAGCCUGAAGGUACAACGAAAAUCAGAUUGCCAUGAGGUUAAGCAGUAGGAGACCCUUCUUAGAUCCCCAUAUUCACACAAACUUUCCGAAUCUGAAACAGUAAACCAUCUGAAUUUUGAAUAGUUCUUCAGCAUGGAAAGAAAAAUCCCAACCAUUUGGAAUAUUCAGAAAUUUGGGGACACAAUCUGCAAUGUAACAACUUUCCCUCUCCCAUCCCCUUGACACACUCUGUCUUUUCAGUCUUCACUUUGUAAGAACUCUUGUAGAAAGCUACAUCUGAC
rnacentral:lncRNA from 1 species